rnacentral:rRNA from 1 species
UACGGAGGGUGCGAGCGUUGUCCGGAAUCACUGGGCGUAAAGGGCGCGUAGGCGGCAUGCCAAGCGUGUGGUGAAAGCCCGGGGCUCAACCCCGGGUCGGCCGUGCGGACUGGCGUGCUCGAGCACUGUAGGGGCGGGUGGAAUUCCGGGUGUAGCGGUGAAAUGCGCAGAUAUCAGGAGGAACACCGGUGGCGAAGGCGGGUCUCUGGGCCGAUACUGACGCUGAGGAGCGAAAGCGUGGGGAGCGAACAGG